UGAAUUUUCUAGGUUGAGUUGUGCACUUGCUCUUUGGUCUGAAAUUUCUUCAUUCUUUGCCCUUUAUUGCAAAAACAUGUUCUUCAUCUGUUUUAAUGGUUGAUCUUUAAAUCCAAAAAAAAUUAUCAACUUCCCCUAACACAAGUUCAUCGACCGCAGUCCCCCAACAGAUUUUGUAAGGUUUGAUCAAGACAUCCACUCGCUGGGAAAAAGCAGUUACACGUAUAUGAAACCAUGGACUUCUGGGAACAAAUAAAAAAUCCUGGGUGAGCCAAAGAUGUUGAGUUCUCCUUCCUCAACUACCUCAUAUGUCUCUGGAAAUUUUCAUCUAAGUGAGGAUUUCUAUUUUGCAGAAUGUGUCUGAAAAGAUCUGGCUUGUAUCUUGCACAGUUUAGAUUCACCUCAGCCCAUCUGUUAGCAAGUGGAGAAGGCACAAAGAAUGCUACAAUCUCUGGUGAUGUUUAUAUACAUCCAUCAGCAAAGUUCAUCGAGCUGCAAAGGUAGAAUUGAUGUUGACACGUCAUUUGUUCUGUAUUCUUGUUGCUUAAUUUUUCGAUAAUUAUGUGAUGUAAUUAUUCUUAGAUCUUAUAUGUAUACCGGAUAAACCUCGUUCAUAAAAGACA
rnacentral:lncRNA from 1 species